GUUCACAGUGAAGAUAAUUAAGGAUUCUGCCAACUUCAUCUUCGUCACCAGUUACGUCACUAUUGAGUGUGAGACCGGAAAAUGGGAAAACAGUCCUGGAAAUUCCAUAGAAGCUUGCGUAUCUUCCUAAACCACAGUUUUAAUAUAUAAUCUUCCUCAAAACAUGCUCCCUUAAACAUGAGAGAGGAUCUUCAGCGACAAGGAUGGUUCAAACGUUUAGACUUGAGACCGUAAAAUGAUUCAAUGAUAAUAGAUUGAUGAUGAUCUUUGGAUGUUCUUAUUCGCUAUUGAACAGUAAAGAUAAUUAAGGAUUCUGCCAACUUCAUCUUCGUCACCAGUUACGUCACUAUUGAGUAUGAGGCCGGAAAAUGGGAAAACAGUCCGGAAAAUACCAUUAAAGCUUGCGUAUCUUCCUAGACCACAGUUUUAAACGUAGGAUAAUUAAUCGUUUCGCCAAGUUGUAAAAUUUUUAGUAAUUUUGCACUUUAAAUUUAUAAUUCCUUUUCAAAAAAAUAUGUAAACCAAAAAAAGAUAUCCAUUAUUUGUUUAAUAAGUACAUUUUUUUUGUUUACUAUAUUCUGAUAUUUUUCGCGAAAUAAUCAAUUGGAUAUUAAUUUAAAUGGUUUUGUUAUUUUUCAGUUAAAAGUUAAAGUUCACAAUGAAAUGAAUUAAUUCAAAAUAUUUUAUUUAUUUGAUAAGUUAAAUUCACACUUUAAAUCGCUUUUUGCGCUUCUGUUUUUUUCCGUUUUGAGUUUGUACUUUUUGAACAAAAUAUUAGUGAACAAUUUUUGUUAUUUUUUACGACAUUAGGAAUUAAUUUUUUUUACAGUUUUUGAAUUGUUACUUUCUAGUGUAUUUACCUUUACAUUCAAUGGUAAUUUUGGUAUUUUGAUUUAUUAUUUCUUUUCUAUUCCAGCUACUAAAUUUUUAUCCAAUUGCGUUCAUGUUAUCAGCAGUAAUUAAUCUGCUGUAUGUAAUAGGGGUUUAUGAUUAGGGAGUUACAAAAUUACAGAGAAUAUAAUAAUUUUUUUAAA